AGACCACAGUUGACUGCAGGUAACGGAAACCGUGGAAAGUGAAACUGCAGAUAAGGGAAGACUACAGUACACCAUAGAUUUUUCCCAGGUGGCUGAAAAAAAUCAGUUAAAUGAAAUCAAGAUGCGCUGAUGCCAUAAAGAUGUGUAAGC
rnacentral:lncRNA from 1 species